rnacentral:tRNA from 1 species
GCCCGGGUCGCACAGUCAGGAAGUGCGCCGGUCUUAAAAACCGGUGCCCUUCGGGGUCCGAGGGUUCAAAUCCCUCCCCGGGCG